GGGGCGCCCCUCUCCCGGCUGGCCACUGCCCGGCGCUGCUGCUGCUGCUGCUCUCCCUCUCCCCCUCGCUGCCACAGCCUGAAUGAGCCCCUUGUUCUCUCCAGAGACUCUCCCGGGCUCCGCACCGAGUGACGAGCGCGCAGCCCCGCCCCGUCUCUCUCCCCGGCCGCCCUGCCUCGCCUUGCCCAGCCCUACCCCGACAGUGCCCUGCCUGCCUGCCUGCCUGCGGCGGCUCUGCCUCCCGGUGUGGAGCUUGUGGCUUCGGGAAGCCCGACCAAGGCGGCUGUGAAAACCACUCACGAGGCUCGGCGUGCCCUCCAGCGCGAACAAUGCAGAAGAUAGCCCACAGAGAGAACAGAGCAUUUCAGGACCUCAUUGUGGAAUGGAUCUGCAUAGAUCUCUCAAGGGGGGUUGAAAUUCAAGAGCUUUAUUGUUCCUCAUGAAGAUAAUUUGGUGACUGGCUUAUUCUAUGUAUGAACUUUAAAAUCUGAGAAUUGGACCACUCCAUGGAAGAGAUUGUAAUGAAAAUACCUUCAGAGUGGAUUCUCCUCUGAGUAAGUCCCCUUACGAAAUGAGUCAAAACCUAGAUACUUGUCAAGUUGAUGCUUAUGUUUGUUGUAAGAGUUUAUCACAAGUUGGAACAAGCUGACAUUUUGUUUAUGUUUGUUGUAAGAGUUGUCACAAAUCAGAAUUUCUCCUAUGUUUGGUAUCACCAGUUGAAACUCUGUCCGUGUUGUUGUAAUUGUUUUGUCACUUAAGAGUUCAGAUUUUGUGAUGGUUGUUUAUAAAAAAUGAUUCAUGAUUUUAACAGAGGUCUAUGACAUGUGAUUUAAACAUACGUAUUCAACCGUAUUCAGUAUAAGCUGAGCAACCAUCAUUCAGUUAUUUUUUUCUAUAUUUAAUCCAAAGCAAGUUUCCUUUUGUCCUGUGGUUCUUGCUACCAAGAAAGUAUGCAUAGUGUCACAAACUUAAUUUGAGUAUUUAUUUGCUUACUUAAUACAUUUCUAUACAAUUUUUUCUUGUUGUUCAAAGCAAUUUACAAUAAAACAAACAUAUUAAGCCAAGCAGAAACCUGACAUAUUAAAAUAUUAACACAAUGAAACUCCA